rnacentral:rRNA from 1 species
AGCGAACGCUGGCGGCAGGCCUAACACAUGCAAGUCGAACGAAGUCUUCGGACUUAGUGGCGGACGGGUGAGUAACACGUGGGAACGUACCUUUUGGUUCGGAACAACUCAGGGAAACUUGAGCUAAUACCGGAUGAGCCCUUAGGGGGAAAGAUUUAUCACCGAAAGAGCGGCCCGCGUCAGAUUAGCUAGUUGGUGAGGUAAAGGCUCACCAAGGCUACGACCUAUCGCUGGUCUGAGAGGAUGAUCAGCCACACUGGGACUGAGACACGGCCCAGACUCCUACGGGAGGCAGCAGUGGGGAAUCUUGCGCAAUGGGCGAAAGCCUGACGCAGCCAUGCCGCGUGAAUGAUGAAGGUCUUAGGAGUGUAAAAUUCUUUUACCAGUGACUAUAAUGGCGGUACCUGGAGAAAAAGCCCCGGCUAACUUCGUGCCAGCCGCCGCUGUAACAC